UAAGAUCCUUCACUUAAGGAUCUGCAAUUUCCCUAUUUCCCCGACCUAAUUCUUCGCUUUUCCUUCCCCACGAUGUUACGAAUCUUCCACCUAUCUUCCUCCCCAGAUUCCUCCCAUCAUUCAUCUGCUGCUUCAUAUGAGGAUUUACACGCUCAACAGCUGGAAGAAGAGUUGCAAUCAACAGCAUUCAAUGAAUAUGAACAUGAUUUGCGCUCAAUAUUUAAGCCAAGGGGGUAUUUUGCUAUUUAAGCACUACUGUAGAGGCAGACACUCACCACAGAAUAACUGUCUCUUCAAGUCCACCUUCAGCAAUGGAAUCUCGCCUUUUAAUCCCCCAAAUCACAACUGAGAAAAAACAAUGGAGUUGUAAAGUUUGUGUUAUUGAAAAGUUGAAUACAAGAGAGUCAAAGGGCAAACCUGGAACCUUGUACAAGCCUAUAACAUUACAAGAUGAAGCGGUUACUCAUUUUUAUUAUUUCUGAACUUCAAAAUUAAUUCUAUGUUGUUAAAAUGAUUGAUUAUAUUUUCAAAUAGUUUUUGACAUUUUCUUUAAAAUAAUUAUAGGGCAACAAAGUUCAAGGAAUGACUUAUCAAAAUGAUAUUGAACUACUUGAUGAAAGGCUCAAGUUAUACUCCACA